ensembl:lncRNA
GCUGCAGACCCCGGCUUCCAUCUCAGCCUCCAGUAGCCCCCAGCAGCCCCGCCUACCAGCAGGGAGAUCACGGGCUGGCAGCCCAGAGAGGGCAGUGUGAGGGACGGGAGGAGAGCAGCCCCGGGGGGGAUCAGGGGCUGGUAGAUGUAGAUGAUGAAGAAGAGGAUAUAGAGAUAGUUGUUGUAUAGAUAGUUAGAGGGUAUGAUGAUAGUUGAUAGCGAUGUAGAUUAGUUGAUAGUGACGUAGAUUAGUUGAUAGUGACGUAGAUAGUGAGAUAGACAGCUGAUGGUGGUAUACAGGUAGUAAACAGAUAGCAGAGAGCAAGAUGGGUUAUUGGUAGAGAGGUGGUUUGUGAAUAGGAAGGUAGUUAGCAGCAAGCAAGAGUUAGUAGCAAUGUAGUUAGAUCAUAGCCAGAUAGCUGAUAGGGGGAUGCAGGAUAGAAAGAUGGGUGACUGGGAGAUAGUUAAUUUAUAGACUGCAAUAGUGAAAGUUGCUGAAAAGAACUUUGUCUCUGUUUCAGAUGAGCCACUGCGCCCUGGGACACCACUCUCCCCUCAGUACGAUGAAGACCAACACCUGAUGCUGCUCCAUCACCAGCAGAAGAACAGCAGCUCUGCAGAGACCCGUCCUGCCAGCAGAGCAUCACGGAGAAGAAGACGCGCCUUCUGCUCACAGGAAGAACUGGACUGAAGAGGAGAGCGCCAGCUGACAGCGCCCGUCUGGUGUGAUGUGCCCAGAGAGAGACUCGUCCAGCAAGAGAUAGAGUAGAUAGGGAGCAUAGGGACCCAGUUAGCUCUAAAAUGUCUUAGUAGUGCAGUUGUAAGAAAGCUCUGUAAAUAAAUUGUAUGCCAUUGUUUUCAUAUCCUUACACUGUGUCCAAAACUGUGUUUGUUCGUAGCCCGAUAUGCCUAGAAAUAAAUGACAGAACAAUAAAUCUUUUCCUC